UUUUUUUUCUUUUUUCACAUUAAUCUCAAUCACUCUAAAAACUCAUUGUCUCAGUUCCAAAGAGAACGUCUCUUAGUUUCUCUCAAAAACGAGCCCCUCGCCUUCGCUAAAUCUCAGAUUAGAGUUCUCUCUUUUUUAUUUUUUCCAGAAAAAGAAGCAGAAGCAGGAAGAUGAAGCCGACUUUAGUAUCAAGAACGAAAAAAUUCCCCUUCGCCCAUAAACAACUCCUCCAAUGGAGUUCCAGAGCUUCUUCUUCUCUUAGGUCUAGGAUUUUUAAUUCUUCUCCGUAUCUUUCUAGAACCUUCCCUGCUUCUUCUUCCACUCCUCCUCCUGUGUUCAGUUACCGAUCUCUCAACUUCUCCUCUACGGUUCAAUCUCUCCGCUACUCCGCCUCCAUGGAAGGAUAUUUCUUGGUUUGAAGAGCUUCUGACAUCUCCCCCCUCUUUUCAUCUGGUGCAUUGAUCAGAUUUUGGGUUUGUAUAAAGGUUAUAUCAUAGUAAAGGAUGUUUUUGAGUUUCUUUUUAGCUAUCUUGAAUUUUGGCUAUUUUACUAUUUUUUGGAGGUACUUGAGAAGGUUUGCAUUUUUUUUAGCAGACUGGCAAAUAUGUGUCUUUCUUGCAGGUUAUACUCCUAAUUAUUUUGGCUGUCCCUUUUGGCUUAGAAGCAAAAUAUAUAUUUUAUUGAAGCUUGUGUCUGGAAUAACAAGUGUUGGAGUUGCACUUCAUCUUCAUGUAUACAAUUUAGAUGCUCCGGUCUCAGUUUAUGUGUACCACUUUUAUUUCGAAACUCUAAUUUUAACAAUUCUCUGUAAUUGUAAUUAAUCAUGUUUAAUUACAUUGUUGUGCAUCACCUUCAAUAAGUUAUGCCAUCUUAACCACCGGUAAGUUUUUCUUCUUUUCAUUCUUUCUUAGAUCUGGGUAUGGGUAUGAAAUAUGAAUUAGUUUUGAGAAAUUUGGUUGGAUUGAUUUUUAUUUAGGUAUUUGGGUAACAUUAGGUUUUGAUUUGAUUUUUUGAAAUUUGGGGUUAUAUAUGAUUUAGGUUUGGAGAGGGCAAAAACAGAGAAAUAAGAGAGAAGGAGAGAGUUCUCUGUUCCCUCUUCAGACUUAAAGCACCGCUACAAGCACAUAGGGAAAGAAAAAUCUAUGGGCUACAUAUCUUUCACCAUCAGAUCGUAGGAACUGGCUCCGGUGAGUGGAAGAAAAGGCAAGCAGUAGAAGCUGUCCAGGAAGCCAGACGUAAGAUAAAGCUUAAGAGAUAAAGCAGCAUGACAAGCAUUAGGCCAUUGUGACUGAACAAAUAUGAGGUUAUAAGAGUUGGGAUAGUAGCUUGAUGCCAGAUUAGCAAGUGAGGGAGACAGAGGAGAGUGAAGGAGAGAGAGAGAGAGAAUAAGAAAGAUAAGAAAAUGCUUUAGAUUACUACACCAACACUGCCCAAUAUAUAUAUAUUUCUAAAAUCUAUGUGUUUUGAGUAGUUGAUAGGCUAAAUCUAGAAAAUUUAGAGUACGUUUUAUGGAAUUUCUCAUAGAAGCUUUAUUGUUUUCUAAAAUAAAUUUGUUAUCUGGUGUUUUUUUCCCUAUUUGAUGCAGAAAGCUAAAUAUUAUAAACAAUUAUUCUUUUUUCCUUCUAUAAUGGUUUUAAUCAGAUAAGAAUGAUCUUAUUUUGUAGUUAAUAUUUUCAAUUGUAGAUUAGGAGCUGCAUUCUAAAGAAUUAUGUUCUUCCAUCCUUUAUAAAGACAAACCAUGUCAUCAUUUAUGACAUUAGUAAUAAAAACAAUAGAUUGAUAUUGAUAUUAAUUCAAAUUUUUAUAAAUAUUGCCUUACCUUAUGAAAAUAGUAAGCUAGAAGUUUAGUUUUUAUUUUAUUUGUAAAUUCUUACAAUCAUGGACCAACAAAAUUAGUGAUCUGCUAUUUGCUCCAAAGUUAACAUUGAUAGUAUUAUUGAUGUGUAGGUGUAAAAAAAAGUUUUAAACACCCCAAAGUGGAUAUGGUAGGCAAGAUUACCAGCAUGCAAUUGCUGCUGAAAAGCUGUCAAACUUAAAUCCUUUUCUUCAUCUUGAUGCCAAACUCAGGAUUUAAUGUCGAAAUCAAAGUUUGAGAGGGAAUUUGCAGCUUGAAAGUAGAUGGAUUUAUUGCAUUUUGUACGUUAAUAGCAAUUUCCCAUUUUGAUUUGCAAGGACAUUCUCACAAAUUUAGAGACUACUAUGUCCCUCUUGGCAUAUAUGUUCUGAGACUUACAAGACUUACAAUGAAUAUAAAGCAUAAUAUUAAAUUUGUAUCAGCAAAAAUGGUGUCCUCACACACUUUAUAUAUAAAAGAAACCGAGGAAAUAUGAAUUUUUUAUAGUUAUAUUUUUCCAGUUUCUUUCAUUCCUGUUGUAACAAAGAGACAGAACUAAGUUAAACAUGCAAAAGGUUAAAUUUUAUUUGAAUAUUCAUGUUUU